rnacentral:rRNA from 1 species
GACGAACGCUGGCGGCGUGCUUAACACAUGCCAGUCGAACGGAAAGGCCCUGCUUUUGUGGGGUGCUCGAGUGGCGAACGGGUGAGUAACACGUGAGUAACCUGCCCUUGACUUUGGGAUAACUUCAGGAAACUGGGGCUAAUACCGGAUAGGAGCUCCUGCUGCAUGGUGGGGGUUGGAAAGUUUCGGCGGUUGGGGAUGGACUCGCGGCUUAUCAGCUUGUUGGGGGGGUAGUGGCUUACCAAGGCUUUGACGGGUAGCCGGCCUGAGAGGGUGACCGGCCACAUUGGGACUGAGAUACGGCCCAGACUCCUACGGGAGGCAGCAGUGGGGAAUAUUGCACAAUGGGCGGAAGCCUGAUGCAGCAACGCCGCGUGCGGGAUGACGGCCUUCGGGUUGUAAACCGCUUUCGCCUGUGACGAAGCGUGAGUGACGGUAAUGGGUAAAGAAGCACCGGCUAACUACGUG